GCCAAAAUUAUCAUAGGAUUGGGUCACUUCUUCCUAUUGAAGGGGAAAAACCUACAUUCGCUCAACUCUAUAACUAUGAUACAGAUAAUGAAAUAGGACAUAGAAUUGAUGUAGUGAUCAAGAAAUAUAAGAAAAAUGAUGUAGAUCCUGAUAUUGCUAUUGGAUUAUUGGAAAUGUUGGAUAAUUGUAAUGAAUUAGUGAAAGCAUUUUGUGCACAAUAAAUCUCUCUCUCUCUUUUCCUCUUAAAUUUGCUUAUUUUAUAGAGUUUAUCCAAAAAGGUUUUUUUUUUUUUUUAAAUGAAAGAAUUUUGAUUUUGUUAAUUUUUAAAUUUUGAACAAGUUACUGGGGUUUUAGUACAUACAUUUUGCAGUUAGAAUAUUGUUUCAAAUUUGGUGAAUUUUGGGGAAUGUAAUAGUGUGGAAAUUUUAAAACUUUUACUGUCUAGGGAGCCAACUUUAGUCUAACAAGAAAGCCAUGAACAACUUAAGUCCAACAUGAAGGCCAUGAACAUCUAGGUAGUCUGUUGGCAUGUUUUUGUUUCAAUUCUUUUCCUUCCCCUAAUAUAGCUUUGUCAUUUGAUUUGUUAGUUGAAAUUGAAAUAACACAAUUUUCUUAUUCUAGAUGAAAUUGUUUAUGGAUUUUUAUUUUACGUAUAGAUUUCAAUGCAACUAACAUCAAUUUCGUUGCUUACUGUUUUAAUGUUAAGGAUUCAGUGACAAACUUAUUUUGCAUUUGUACUAUUGUUUUACUUGUGGGAAAAAUUUGAUGAGUUUUCUAUGUUUGUGUUUUGUAGUUCGUAUUGAUUUACUACAUGUGAAUGGUGAUGUGGGGGGACUUAGACAAAGAUAAUGAGCUACCUGUCUUCUAUCUCAAGACUAAAGAUGAAUGUUUACAUUGAAUUUUGUACUUGAUGGCACACUCCCACACAUAGAUAGAGUGGAAGAAAACCAUAAUUUUAGUUCUAUGAAGUUCUUGAAAACUUGCCUCAAGUUAUGAUUAGGAGUUCUAUGAUGAUUGUAUGUAACUUAUUAUAGAACAUGGUGGAAAAAUUGAAUCUAAAGGAGAGAGGAACCAACAAAUGUCUCAAAGGCUAUUAGUGCAUGUUGACAAGUUUGGGGUUUGAUGGUGCCAUAGAAGUUUCAAUGGAAGUCUUCUCUCAAUUACUAAGCUGUCAUGUAUGUAAAUUAGGCUACUUAUUGAAAAACAAAUUGUAAAUUAGGCUAGAUAUUGAAAGUUAUUGUUGAAUGCUAUAGUUACUAAAAGCUAUGUUUAGCUACUAAACUACUUGAGAUGUUCCUUAAAAUUUUGGGAUAUAAGUUACUAAGAAAUGUCUUUUAUAUUAUGUUUUCGGAUACAA